rnacentral:rRNA from 1 species
UUGGGAAUAUUGGACAAUGGGAGAAAUCCUGAUCCAGCAAUCCCGCGUGAGUGAUGAAGGCCCUCGGGUCGUAAAGCUCUUUUAGUAGGGACGAAGGGAAACUUGACGGUACCUACAGAAAAAGCACCGGCUAACUCUGUGCCAGCAGCCGCGGUAAUACAGAGGGUGCAAGCGUUGUUCGGAAUCAUUGGGCGUAAAGCGCGUGUAGGCGGCCUUCUAAGUCUGGUGUGAAAUCCCGGGGCUCAACCCCGGAAGUGCACUGGAUACUGGAGGGCUAGAGGGCGAGAGAGGAAAGUGGAAUUCAUGGUGUAGGGGUGAAAUCCGUAGAUAUCAUGAGGAACAUCUGAGGCGAAGGCGACUUUCUGGCUCGUUUCUGACGCUGAGACGCGAAAGCGUGGGGAGCAAACAGG